CGCCUGCCCUGUGACAAAUGUUCAACGGCCGCGGUAUUUUGACCGUGCAAAGGUAGCGCAAUCACUUGUCUUUUAAAUGAAGACCUGUAUGAAUGGCAUCACGAGGGUUUAACUGUCUCCUUUUUCUAGUCAAUGAAAUUGAUCUUCCCGUGCAGAAGCGGGGGUGAUAACAUAAGACGAGAAGACCCUAUGGAGCUUUAGACACAAAGUAGGCCUUGUUAAACACUUCAAAAUAAAGAAAUAAACUAAAAGAACCUCUACCAUAAUGUCUUUGGUUGGGGCGACCACGGGGAAAUAAACAACCCCCAUGUGGAUUGAGAAAACAAUUCUCACAACAAAGAACCACAGCUCUAAUUAACAGAACUUCUGACCUUACAGAUCCGGCUUAAUGCCGAUCAACGGACCGAGUUACCCUAGGGAUAACAGCGCAAUCCUCUUUUAGAGUUCAUAUCGACAAGAGGGUUUACGACCUCGAUGUUGGAUCAGGACAUCCUAAUGGUGCAGCAGCUAUUAAGGGUUCGUUUGUUCAACGAUUAAAGUCCU
rnacentral:rRNA from 2 species